CACCUCUAGCAUCAUUAGUAUUAGAGGCACUGCCUGCCCAGUGACAUUAGUUAAACGGCCGCGGUAUCCUGACCGUGCAAAGGUAGCAUAAUCAUUUGUUCCUUAAUUAGGGACUUGUAUGAAUGGCCUCACGAGGGUUUAACUGUCUCUUACUUUUAAUCAGUGAAAUUGACCUUCCCGUGAAGAGGCGGGAAUACUAAAAUAAGACGAGAAGACCCUAUGGAGCUUAAAUUGAAUUGUCCAACAAACUUAACUUAAACCCAACAGGAAUAACUAAAUUUUAACUGGAUAAUAAAUUUUGGUUGGGGUGACCUCGGAGCAUAACUUAACCUCCGAGCAGUUAAAACUCAGACUUACCCGUCAAAGUGGAACUAUUAAUUGAUCCAAUCUUAUUGAUCAACGGAACAAGUUACCCUAGGGAUAACAGCGCAAUCCUAUUUAAGAGUUCAUAUCGACAAUAGGGUUUACGACCUCGAUGUUGGAUCAGGACAUCCUAAUGGUGCAGCAGCUAUUAAAGGUUCGUUUGUUCAACG
rnacentral:rRNA from 1 species